rnacentral:rRNA from 1 species
CCAGACUCCUACGGGAGGCAGCAGUGAGGAAUAUUGGUCAAUGGGCGAGAGCCUGAACCAGCCAAGUCGCGUGAAGGAUGACGGCCCUACGGGUUGUAAACUUCUUUUGUCAGGGAGCAAUUGGGUCCACGCGUGGGCUUAGCGAGAGUACCUGAAGAAAAAGCAUCGGCUAACUCCGUGCCAGCAGCCGCGGUAAUACGGAGGAUGCGAGCGUUAUCCGGAUUUAUUGGGUGUAAAGGGAGCGUAGACGGCAGUGCAAGUCUGGAGUGAAAGGCGGGGGCUCAACCCCCGGACUGCUCUGGAAACUGUACGGCUGGAGUGCAGGAGAGGUAAGUGGAAUUCCUAGUGUAGCGGUGAAAUGCGUAGAUAUUAGGAGGAACACCAGUGGCGAAGGCGGCUUACUGGACUGUAACUGACGUUGAGGCUCGAAAGCGUGGGGAGCAAACAGGAUUAGAUACCCCUGUAAC